rnacentral:lncRNA from 1 species
UUUUGCACAGAGAGGAGCAAUAUGUCCGAGGCUCUGGUGACCACAUCUUUGCACAUGUACAAAGGAACAACUUGGAAAUCAUUUUACUUAUUUAGCACACACUUAUUAAAUGUCUGCAUUGUGCUAACCUGGGAGUUCAUCUAUUAAAUUGUUUCCAUUAUGUACUCAAUUUUAUUUAAAACAAAUGAUAGAGCUGGAAUGAAAUUUGAGGGUCAUUUAAUGAAGCCUUUCUAUUUUUUUUAAACAAAUGAGGAAACUGAGGGCAAGACUGAUAAAGUAACAAAUGUUUAUUAGGCAUUUCCCAUGUGCCAAGCAUUUUUCUAGGGGCUGAGGACAUAUAAAACCUGAGAAUCGUCUUUUCAGGGAGGGCACAUUCAAGAGCAGAGAGAGAGAAAAUAAGUAACUAAGGAAAGAAGAUGCUUUCAGGUAGUGAUGAGAACCAAGAUGAGGAAACAGUGGGAUGCAAUAGAGUGACUGUGAUUGAGAACUGGCCACUCAGAGUUGGUGUUUAAGUAAGUCUACUUGAGGAGAUGACAUUCAACUGUGACCUGAAUGAAAAGGAGAAGCCAGGCUUACAAAGAUAUGAGGCAGACAUUUCUAAGCAGAGGAACAGGGGUAACCCUAGGUUUUGCAUGCAGGAACCACAGAAAGAAGGCCUGGGCCACUUAGUUCACAAACUGGCCAAUGUACCUGGAGGGCAAGGAGAAAUCAAAGGAAGAGGCAGAACUCUCCUGAUUGGUAGGUGGCAGGUUUGAUAAGGAAGGACCUUAUAUGUGGGCAGCAGCAAGACUAGUAGAUCUCUACAACCCCCCCACAAUCUUAAGAGUUUACAUAGUGGCCUAACUGGGUUUAGUUACAUAUACUGUCUGGUUAGUUAUAAAAAUAUGCUACUCUCUGAAGGCUGUGUCCAUCUGUCCAUCCAUCCAUCUGUGGAACAGCUCCCACUGUGGGAACAGUAGGCAGAACAUACAUUCCAAGGAUAGGGGCAGGGACAGGGAGCUUCCAGUUGCCCGGGAUUAACUGGAGGUCACAUCCUCUUGAUGACCUUCUCCAACAGUCUGGGGUGCAGGGUGUAACUAGAUGAAGUUGAAGAAGUGGGAGUGGCCAGAUGAUAGUAGGUUUUCUGAUCUUGGUGAGGAGUUUGUUUUUUCUCAGUUCUGUGGAAAUAUAUCUAUAUUAUGUAUUAUCCAUUGUGUGUAUAUGUAUAUAAUACACCACAUGAGAAUGAAAAGAGCUGAUGUAUAUUUCUGAAAGCUUAUUCUGGCAGAAGGAGGAUCCCUUGGUAGGCUCUUUUAGUCAGGUGAAAGGAAAAUGACAUUGCGGGCUGUGAUAGCGAUGUGGGUUUGAAAGAAGAGGAUGGUUAUAGGACAUAUUUUGAAUAUCAAGGGUGAGGCAAAGAGAAAUUUGUUGCCGAAAUAUUGGCCGCCUCUGUACUCUGUUGCCAUAUAGAAUCUGGCAUCGGAGACAGAGUUUGGCACACAGAGUUUGAGGAAACAGAAAAAGUAGCUUUAAUUACCAAGGAAGAGGGAACACAGCAGACUGGUGCCUCAGGACUGUUCCCCCCACUGCCUUGGAGGGGGUAAUGAGGAGUCUUACAGUGCUCAAGGAGCAGGGCGUGAUUAGCUCAUGGAUGUUUUCCUGAUCAGUGGGUGGUGAGGUAAUUGGGAGUCAGAGUCAUCAACCUUCUGGUUUCAGCCAGUCUGGGGUCUAUGUGCUUGUGGGCGGCACACAGUUGACUUCUUCCCCCUGGUGGGAGCUUCAGCACCUGCAAAACGCUUCAAGGACAUGGCUCAGAAUGUUAUCUAUAGUCUUCGAAGAACUGAAGGUCCUUGACUUUGUUGAAUGGCUGAAUUAUUUUUAUUGUUUUCUUUUUUCUCUGUAUUUUUCCACUUCUCUAAUUAAAUUGAUUCUUUGACUGAAGUGUUUCUAUAGCUAGAAAGGCAGAUGGAGAAAAUGGGGGGAGUCCACUCUGGGAAGGCCUCCCAGGUCCUGCUUGGUUAUAGAAUCAAGGUUGCCUCUUAGUUUUUUCAUUGGUUAUCUAGGUUGAUGGUGAUGCUGGUAAACUGAGGUGGAUACCUGGGGAAAGAAUAGAUGGAUUACAGAAUAAAUCAAGAAUUCUGGACACAUGAACCAUGAAAUGUCUUAGGCUAUUUUCAAAAAGAUGUCUGGUGGGCUAUUGGACUGCUGGUUUUUGAGUCUGGAGCCAAAUGGGAGGUUUGUGCUAGAGGAGAAAGCGGGAAUUUUCUGCAUACUGAUGGUAUGUGAAACCUUGAAACAAGAUAAGAUCCCUUAUGGAGGAUCAGACAGAGAAGAGGGUUGAGGAGUUCCCAUCAUGGCUCAGCUGUUAGUGAACCUGACUAGCAUCCAUGAGGACACAGGUUCCAUCCCUGGCCUUGUUCAGUAGGUUAAGGAUCCUGCGUUGCUGUGGCUGUGGCGUAGGCUGGCAGCUAUAGCUCCGAUUCGACCCCCUAGCCUGAGAACCUCCAUAUGUUUUGGGUGUGGCC